GACGAACGCUGGCGGCGUGCUUAACACAUGCAAGUCGAACGGAAAGGCCCUGCUUUUGUGGGGUGCUCGAGUGGCGAACGGGUGAGUAACAAGUGAGUAACCUGCCCUUGACUUUGGGAUAACUUCAGGAAACUGGGGCCUACUCCUGAUAGGUGCUCCUGCUGCAUGGCGGGGGUUGGAAAGUUGCGGCGGUUUGGGUUGGACACGUGGCAAAUCAGCUUGUUGGUGGGGUAGUGUCUUACCAAGGCGUUGACGGGUCGCCGGCCUGAGAGGGUGACCGGGCACAGUGGGACUGAGAUACGACCAGUACUGCUACGGGAGGCAGAAGUGGGGAAUACUGCACGAUGGGCGGAGGGCUGAAGCACCGACGCCGCGUUCGAGAUGACGGCCUUCGGGUUGGAAACCGCUUCCGCCUGUGACGAAGCGGGAGUGACGGUAAUGGGUAAAAAAGCAACGGCUAACUACGUG
rnacentral:rRNA from 1 species